rnacentral:lncRNA from 1 species
ACUGAGGGUGACCCAUGUUCUGACUUCCUUUUGAAGUCAUCAGGCCUCAUAAACAGAAUCAGACUUGAAUGCUUAAGUCAUCCCUUUCCUGUUUGUAGAAUACUACCCUAUUCCACUUUUUCCUGUUUGGAUGCUUUCUUACUUGUCCUGUUUGAUCCUUUUAACUCUUAUAAGGUAGACAGAGAGAGUUGUUCCUGUAUUCAUGAUGAGACAGUUAAGACACAGCAAAUUAAGUGACCAGUGCUAUUUGUUUGAAGAACUUAGUUUAUUCUUCUGUGUACUUAUUUUCCACAUCUGCAGAACUGUGACCAUCCUCCACAUAAUUUAUAGUCCAUACCAAGUAGUGGAUCAAACGAGCUCCUGCCAGGCAGUCACCAGCUUCUGAUGAGAACAGCAGCAUGCAGCCUGCACUUCAAUGCUGCACUCCCAAGACCAGCUGUGGCCCCCACACUGCCAGUGCUGUGUGUAACGGGUGCUCUGUAGUUCAGUAUUAUUGAUUUCCUAUAGAUUCUUUAUUUUUUAAAUAGCCCAUGUCAGUUUCUUUCUUUUAAGUGUGGGAAGGGUCCUAAGCUUUAGUUUCCUGUUCUGUAAAGAGGGAUGAUACUCUUUGCCUUGUUUAUCUACCAUGCAAUUAUUAUGAUCAAGGUUUGGAAAUGUGUUGCUUUUGAUAAAUGAGUGAUUGGACAGCCCUCCUGGCAUUUGUUGGACAAGACUAGGUAUGCUACAUGACCAUCAGAAGGAAGAACUGCCCUACCCCACAUGCCCAUGCCAUCCUUUUUGAGAAACCCAGGUUUAAAUCCUGGCAGACAUAAUCCCGUGAGGUGACAAGACAGUCUUGAUAGUGAGGCACAUGCCUGCACACCUAGCCGUGUGCUUUCAUGCAGAGUUUAUUGGCCAUAAAGCUGACUUCAGUUUGACCUGCUUCUUCUGUCUGUCCAGUGAGUGAAAGGGAUGGUAUUUAUUAAUUUUUCUGGACCUAUAGUUUCCUUAGUGACAAGAGGCUUUGCUCCUUUGUAAUCUCUUAAUUGUGUUUCUCUCUCACACACACAAUUAAUACAUGCUUGUGAUUAAAAGUUCACACAGUAUAGAAAAAUGUAGCAUAUGAAACUGAGGUCUUCCUUUGCCUCCUUCUCCCACUCUUCUUCCUGAAAUCGAUCAUUAGCCAAUGCAAUGCUAACACCCCUCUCAGAUCCUUUCCUAUUCCGUUGGUGUGUAUAAUUUUAAAAAUGUGAUCACAUCAUUUAUGUUCUG